AGACGGAGGGGGCAAGCGUUGUUCGGAAUUACUGGGCGUAAAGGGCGCGUAGGCGGCAUACCAAGUUGGAGGUGAAAUCCCCGGGCUCAACCCGGGAACUGCGUUUGAUACUGCGAAACUAGAGAUCGGGAGAGGGUAGUGGAAUUCCCAGUGUAGAGGUGAAAUUCGUAGAUAUUGGGAAGAACACCAGUGGCGAAGGCGGCUACCUGGACCGAUACUGACGCUGAGGCGCGAAAGCGUGGGGAGCAAACAGGAUUAGAUACCCCGGUAGUCC
rnacentral:rRNA from 1 species